UAGCGGAGAAAUUCCAAUCGAACCCGGAGAUAGCUGGUUCUCUCCGAAAUAGCUUUAGGGCUAGCCUCGACUGAACAUUACCGGAGGUAAAGCACUGAAUGGGCUAGGGGCCGAGAGGUUACUGAACCCUAUCAAACUAAGAAUGCCGGAUAAUGAUAGUCGGGAGUCAGACAGUGUGAGAUAAGUUUCAUUGUCGAAAGGGAAACAGCCCAGACCCACAGCUAAGGUCCCAAAGUAUCGUUAAGUGGAAAAGGAUGUGGAACUGCCCAGACAACCAGGAUGUUGGCUCAGAAGCAGCCAUACAUUCAAAGAGUGCGUAAUAGCUCACUGGUCGAGUGGUUCUGCGCCGAAAAUUUAACGGGGCUAAACGAUACACCGAAGCUUGGGAUGCAGCAUUGGCUGCAUGGUAGGAGAGCGUUCUGUACGGGGUGAAGUCAUAGCGGAAGCGGUGGUGGACUGUACAGAAGAGAGAAUGCCGGAAUGAGUAGCGAGAUUUAUGUGAGAAUCAUAAAGGCCGAAAGACUAAGGAUUUAGAAGGAAGGUUCGUCCGCUUCUAGUUAGCCGGGAGCUAAGGCGAGGCCGAGAGGCGUAGUCGAUGCACAUACGGUGGAGAUUCCGUAGCCGCCUCUUAAUUUAAGCAAAGGGACACUUUCAAAGGGAAUGACCCGGGCGUUGGUAGCCCCGGGCGAAAGGGACCGAAAUUAGAGUAGGGAAGCAUUUCUGGAGGAAGGCGAGAAAAGCUUUGCGGAUAGAGAGAGGCGCCCGUACCGCAAACCGACACAGGUAGUCAGGAAGAGGAUUCUAAGGCCAACGGGAGAAGGGUAGUUAAGGAACUCGGCAAAUUGACCCCGUAACUUCGGAAUAAGGGGUGCUCCUGAAAAGGAGCCGCAGUGAAUAGGCCCAGGCGACUGUUUAUCAAAAACACAGGUCUCUGCCAAAUCGAAAGAUGAAGUAUAGGGGCUGACACCUGCCCGGUGCUGGAAGGUUAAGAGGAGAUGUGCAAGCAUUGAAUUGAAGCCCCAGUAAACGGCGGCCGUAACUAUAACGGUCCUAAGGUAGCGAAAUUCCUUGUCGGGUAAGUUCCGACCCGCACGAAUGGUGUAACGAUCUGGGCACUGUCUCAACUACCCACCCGGCGAAAUUGUAGUACCGGUGAAGAUGCCGGUUACCCGCGGCAAGACGGAAAGACCCCAUGGAGCUUUACUGUAGCCUGAUAUUGGGUUUCGGUAUUCUAUGUACAGGAUAGGCGGGAGACUGGGAACCGAUGGCGUCAGCUGUCGGGGAGUCACCCUUGGGAUACCGCUCUUAGAGUACUGGAAUUCUAACCUGCGGCCGUGAAUCCGGCCGGGGGACAUUGUCAGGUGGGCAGUUUGACUGGGGCGGUCGCCUCCAAAAAGGUAACGGAGGCGCUCAAAGGUUCGUUCAGCACGGACGGAAAUCGUGCAGUGAGUGUAAACGCAUAAACGAGCCUAACUGCGAGACCGACGGGUCGAGCAGUAACGAAAGUUGGAGUUAGUGAUCCGGCGGUAUGUGAGUGGAAAUGCCGUCGCUCAACGGAUAAAAGCUACCCUGGGGAUAACAGGCUGAUCUCCCCCAAGAGUCCACAUCGACGGGGAGGUUUGGCACCUCGAUGUCGGCUCAUCGCAUCCUGGGGCUGUAUUCGGUCCCAAGGGUUUGGCUGUUCGCCAAUUAAAGCGGUACGCGAGCUGGGUUCAGAACGUCGUGAGACAGUUCGGUCCCUAUCUGUCGUGGGCGCAGGAUAUUUGA
rnacentral:rRNA from 1 species